UUGAACAUGGCGUAAUUGGUAACGUAUCUGCUUUGGGAGUAGGUGUUAUGGGUUCAAGUCCCAUUGUUCUGAA
rnacentral:tRNA from 1 species